GUUACGAACUAAAGUACAUUAUAAAACAAAACGAUUGCUAAUAUAUUAACAUAAGUACUUGAUAUGUAACCGUAUUUUAUAAAAUGUUGAUUAGUGUUUAUUACGGCUCGUUGUUGAAUUUAAUUGAAAAGAAAAAAGAAAUGUGAAGAAUAAAGGAGAAAAUAAGAAAUAUAAAGCAAACAAAUAAAAUCAAGUGCGAAAGAGAAAACGAAUGAAAAGAAACCAAUUCGUACAUGAUAUACAACAAUUAAAGUUAACAAGUUAUGUAGAUAGUGUUCUGAAAUAGUCUUUCAAAAUUUACUUAUAAUGAAACACUGUGGGAAGUUAAAAAAAGUGGAUUCUAACACAAAAUUAUCAACUAAUGAAAAAAAUAAAAUUCUUAAACUUCGAUGAUUAUAUCAUCAACGUUGGGUACAUUGUAAAAGAAUUACAAAGGGAUGAAAAAGGUCACUUAAUAUUAAAUAAUAUUAGUGAUGAGAAAAAUCUGGAAGAGAAGAAUAGCGGAAAAAAAAAUCCACAUUUUUGAGAAAGAAUUAUUUCAGAAAACAUCUCAAUAUAUAUAAUAUGAACUUUUUAUGUCCUUAUUUCCAAAAAUUCUCGAAAAUUGUUUUAUUAUUUCAGUUUUCUUACAUUUCAUUUUUUUUCGUAUUUAGGAUAAAUUGAAAUAUUACAUAUAAGCAAGUAAAUGAACAAAAAAAACAAUUGAAGUGUACAAUAAAGACAGGGAGACAAAGAUUUAUUACUUGAAAAUACUAAACACAAAAAUGAUAUAAAUCUGUUUAAUGUUAAAUGUUGGAAUUAAUUGUUAUGAAUUAAAAAUUACAAGGAAAGAUUAACUUAUUCGUAUAAUGUAAAAUAUUUAAAUUUAUUGCAAAUUGAAAUACCAUAACGAAUGAAAAUGAUGUCCGGAUUAACUAGAAGCAAAGUUUUUUAUUAGUGUGAAAUAUUUUGAUGCACUAUAUUUAUAGAAAAUAUUUCAUAGUUGAAAAAAAUAGUGGCACAUUAUGCUGCAUCGAAAGAUUGGUGUCAUGCUUCUUUUUUUUUAAAAUGGAAUCUGACAGCUGUAAUAUUCAAUUACUUGUAUAUAUUUAAUGAAAAAGAUAAAUACUAUAAAUACCUAACAUUUUAUGAAUACACUAUUGUGGUGGUCUAUUAACCUUUGUUCAAAAUAAUAAAAGACAUAUGUUACGAACAUAAAUGCGAUAAUAUAACUAUAAUUUGCUUGUUUUUUUGGUGAAAGAAAGUAACUGAAAUAAUUGAAAAAGUAUUAAUGCGCUUAUUUAUUAAGAAGAAAGUUUUUUCAAAUAUGUUACUUUAUAUAACGAUAAUUUAAGAAAAUAAAAAGUGAUGCAAAGAGUCCAACAAUCAGAAAUAUUUCCCCAUAUUAGAUUGAUUAUUAAACUGAAAAAAUUUGAAAGUGGAAAGAAAUAUAUUUUAACAUUAAUAUUCACAAAAUUGACAGUUGUAUAGAUUAUGUUUUAUUAAUUUAUUAAUUAUUAUAUAGCUUUGUAAAAUAAAAUAAAAACUGAAGCGCAUCACUAUUUUUUGAUAUCGACCGUUAUAUUCGUACUUCUUUCUAAAUUUACGUGGAAUGUAGAAAUGAUAGAAUUUAUGCAAUUUCUUUUAAAAUUGUUUAUUUAUGAUAAAUUAUAAACAAAAUAUUAUAAAUUACAUAGUGAUAAAAAAAUUUUGUAAAAAAAAUUUGUGUUUUGUAAUUCUAAUUACUGUUUUUAAUAAUUAUUUACGCGACGAUGUUGAGGAGUGCGUAGACGUGCUGUAUAAAAGAUACUUUAGUUGAUAACUCCUACAGUGUAUAUGAUUCUUAUAAUUACAAAUUUGAAAAAAAGUGACGAGUAAAAA